rnacentral:rRNA from 1 species
UACGAAGGGGGCUAGCGUUGCUCGGAAUCACUGGGCGUAAAGCGCACGUAGGCGGCUUUCUAAGUCAGGGGUGAAAUCCUGGAGCUCAACUCCAGAACUGCCUUUGAUACUGGAGAGCUUGAGUCCGGGAGAGGUGAGUGGAACUCCGAGUGUAGAGGUGAAAUUCGUAGAUAUUCGGAAGAACACCAGUGGCGAAGGCGGCUCACUGGCCCGGUACUGACGCUGAGGUGCGAAAGCGUGGGGAGCGAACAGG